GGGUUUUGGGGAGGCUGGGGCUGUCCCAGGGCAGGGAUUUGGGGAUGUGGGGGUGCCCUGAGCUCCGUCCCUCUUGCAGGUGGGGAAGGGCUGCUGUGCUGCCCUGAAGGCCAUGGGCUCCAUCGUCUACGUCACCGAGAUCGACCCCAUCUGCGCCCUGCAGGCCUGGUAAGGCUGCAGCCCCCCGAGCGGGGCAGCCCCCCGAGCUGGGCAGCCCCCCACAUUCCUGAGCUGAGCAUCCCCCCACGUUCCUAAGCAGCCCCCCAAGUUCCUGAGCUGUGCAGCCCCUCAAAUUCCUGGGCAGCCCCCCGAGCGGGGCAGCCCCCCGAGCGGAGCAGCCCCUCACCUCCCUGAGCAUCCCCCAUGUUCCUGAGCACCCCCCGAGCUGGGCAGUCCCCCACGUUCCUGAGCAGCCCCCCACAUUCCUGAGCAGCCCCCCACGUUCCUGAGCAUCCCCCCACGUUCCUGAGCAGCCCCUCAGCUCCCGUGCUGGAGCCCUGCCCUAAAACAUCUCCUGGUUUAUCCCAUCCCAGGAAAGGGCCCUGCCCUAAAACAUCUCCC
rnacentral:lncRNA from 1 species